UUCAUUCCAAAGGAAAAAAGUAUGGGACCUAUUGAUAUUUUAAAUGUUUUGAAACACUUGAAUGAUUUUCCUAAUGCAACUAUUGCAUAUAGAAUUUUAUUGACCAUCCCAGUAACCGUUGCAUCAUCGGAGAGAAGUUUUUCUAAAUUGAAGUUGUUGAAGUAAUAUUUACGUUCUACAAUGACACAGGAAAGACUUAGUGGACUGGCUUUGAUAGCAAUUGAAAACGAAGAACUAAUUGAAGAAUUUAUCUCCGAUGAUGCAACGGUUACUGGGAUGGUCAAUAAAAUUCUAUGUUCUGAAUAA
rnacentral:rRNA from 1 species